rnacentral:tRNA from 1 species
AGCCGGGUCGUCUAGCGGUCAAGGAUGCGGGGCAGGUUCCCCCGUGACCGGGGUUCGAAUCCCCGCCCGGCUACCA